CGGGUUGUAAAGCACUUUCAGUGGGGAGGAAGGCCUCGGUGUUAAUAGUACCGAGGAUUGACGUUACCUACAGAAGAAGCACCGGCUAACUCUGUGC
rnacentral:rRNA from 1 species